rnacentral:rRNA from 1 species
UACGAAGGUGGCAAGCGUUGUUCGGAUUUACUGGGCGUACAGGGAGCGUAGGCGGUUGGAUAAGCCCUCCGUGAAAUCUCCAGGCUUAACCUGGAAAGUGCAGAGGGGACUGUUCAGCUAGAGGAUGGGAGAGGAGCGCGGAAUUCCCGGUGUAGCGGUGAAAUGCGUAGAGAUCGGGAGGAAGGCCGGUGGCGAAGGCGGCGCUCUGGAACAUUUCUGACGCUGAGGCUCGAAAGCUAGGGGAGCGAAUGGG